CCCAAUCAUUUUCAAACUCUUUUUCCUAUAGUGUCAUUAAAGUUGAGAGAAUUCACCAAUAAAGUAAUGAAGCAUAGAGGUUCUUAAGUUUGUUGAUUCUAGUACUACAAUACUGAAACCGUUUCGUCUUCGGUAAGUAUCCAGCUGAAUUAGUUUGAUCGAUUUUGUUUUCCUGUUGAGUUCAAAUAAAUACCCUUUAUUUCAAAUCCGAAAUUGGCGUUUCAGUUCAUAUUUUUUUCCGUUGCCCUCUGUCAAGCCACUAACGCUCGACUUUCUUUCAGUUUCUUCCUCGGAUCAACCGGCUGCGGAGUUACCAAUCCAGCCACUUCCAACCAGCAAGAAGCCUGUUAGAAAGCCACGGCGCAAACCGGAAAACGCCAUCAACGUAGAGGAGAUUCUGAGCCGGGGCGGGGGAACACCGGUCGUCUACCAGAAUACACGUUUCGGAGCGGCUCAGGUGCUAAUGGACGAUAUCGUUUUCGCGUUCACGUGCACUAAACUGCGAGUAAGCCAUUACCGGUGCAGCCAGUUCAAGCAACACAAAUGUCCCGCCCAGGUGAUCGUCAAGGAGGGUCUGAUUUAUUACGCUUGCAGGGACCAUAACCACGACAAAGCCACCGGGCAGCCGCUGGAUGACCUCUGCGGCGUUUACCAAGCCAGGGGUGCCAAAUUACGAGGAGAUCCGUAGUGUUUUACAGUUAUUGUAGUACUAGAUUAUCAUGAAAAAUAUAUAUGCAGAUAAUUAAAAUUUAUUACUUGAUU